rnacentral:lncRNA from 1 species
CUAGUUUCAGAUUGUUCGAGUGUCAAAAGCAUUGUUUUCUUCAUUUUGUUGAUAGAUCUGGGGGUUCUGUUGGGAAAUGGAAGAUAUCCUUAAAAAAACAGCACCACCUACAAUAAUAACGUGCAACAUCUCUUCCUGGAAUGCAUUCUGUCAUUGUUCUCCUAGUGGAUGUCAGGAUCUUCCUGUUCAAGAAGCAGCUCCAGGAUGAUUAAGGACAAAUUAGUAGGAGACAUCUGCAACGUGGACUCUUUAUGUACAAACCCAUUUUCAACAAAAUGGUGACUAUUUAAGUCAAAAUUGGAUUUCCAUGGUAUUUGGCUUUAGAGUUUCUAAGACUCUACUCCUGCAGAUUCUAGACUUGAAUUUGAAGGCGAAUACGUUAGCGUCGCUCCUUGCAGUCUCUAACUAAAGUAUCUGGCAAUUGCUUCAUAUCAGUUAUCUAGUCCUGAAU